rnacentral:lncRNA from 1 species
GAGCUCUUGCCAUUGCUCCAUCCACGAGACACAUGCUUCUGUAGAAGUAAAUUUGACUUUCUGAGAAAAUUUAUGUUCGACUGCUAUUUCUUUUGCAGCACAAAUAGUAUGUUUCUAACAAUUUGGUGGCCUGUACAAGGACCCCAUUCUCCUCCCAGAGGGUUUUCCAUCCUCUCCUGUGAGGACACAUGCCCCACUGCCUCAUUGCAGUAGCCUCAGGGGUAAGGAAUGGAGACCCCCCUAGUGUGAUGAAUAAACCCGGACUCUCAGCAACAUGGGAAGAAAAGACCUACAAAUACCGUGGUGACCAGAUAACUCUGUCCACAGACCAAGAUUGAUAAAAGCAAAGGAGCUUUGUCAUGGUGAGCUACUUCUCAUAGGAGUCAGGAUCUGCAUCUGAAGACUAUACAAAGAUAAAUAACAUGGAUUAAAAGCACAAUCAUCAUUGAAAUUACAGAGCUUCCAAGUGUUUUUAUCCAUU